UAAUACGGGGGGGGCAAGCGUUGUUCGGAAUUACUGGGCGUAAAGGGUGCGUAGGCGGCCUGGAUAGUCCUUCGUGAAAUCCCACAGCUCAACUGUGGAACUGCGGAGGAUACUCUCAGGCUUGAGUCCGGGAGAGGGGAGUGGAAUUCCCAGUGUAGCGGUGAAAUGCGUAGAUAUUGGGAGGAACACCGGUGGCGAAGGCGGCUCCCUGGACCGGUACUGACGCUGAGGCGCGAAAGCUAGGGGAGCAAACGGGAUUAGAUACCCCGGUAGUCCUAGCUGUAAACGUUGAGCACUUGGUGUGGCGGGUGUCGACCCCUGCCGUGCCGAAGCUAACGCAUUAAGUGCUCCGCCUGGGGAGUACGGUCGCAAGGCUG
rnacentral:rRNA from 1 species